UUUCAAAAUGGCGUUCAAACGGCGGUUGGUCGUUGAAGGCUCGAUCAGCCGGUCAGUAUCGUCGGUGCCGCCAACGCGACAACAUAUACCGCUGAUUUCCGACAUCAGCAACAUUGCUCCAGGCGAGAACUGAAGCGAACACACGCCAGCGCAUAUGUGAAGACGUGGAAGGACUCCACACCCAUAUUAUGCUUCAUACAGUAAAUAUUGUAUACGACUUGACCAGUCCCCGUAAACAACGUCGUGUGGUCCAGCAGGGCUCUGGCACGUGUGUCGUCUUCAGUAUUUACCGGAAUUUACCUGAGGGGCCACUGGCACUAGUGGUCUCGACGAGGAUAGGAAGCCGGCGGCUUGUCGAAGGUCCCCCUUCAUCCAUUGUCAAGUUUGCCAUCUGCUUUGGGUCAAGAUGUGUUUCUCUGCGUGUUAAUUCUCCCUCAUAGGUCAGUCUCACCUCCCUAGUACGGAUAUAUAU